GCCUUCGUGGUGUAGUGCGGAUCUGCACGCUGGGCCGGUAUUCCAGAGGACCGUGGUUCGAUUCUCGGCGAAGGCG
rnacentral:tRNA from 1 species